rnacentral:rRNA from 1 species
GAUGAACGCUGGCGGCGUGCCUAAUACAUGCAAGUCGAGCGAACAGACGAGGAGCUUGCUCCUCUGACGUUAGCGGCGGACGGGUGAGUAACACGUGGAUAACCUACCUAUAAGACUGGGAUAACUUCGGGAAACCGGAGCUAAUACCGGAUAAUAUAUUGAACCGCAUGGUUCAAUAGUGAAAGACGGUUUUGCUGUCACUUAUAGGUGGAUCCGCGCCGCAUUAGCUAGUUGGUAAGGUAACGGCUUACCAAGGCAACGAUGCGUAGCCGACCUGAGAGAGUGAGCGGCCACACUGGAGCUGAGACACGCUCCAGACUCCUACGGGAGGCAGCAGUAGGGAAUCUUCCGCAAUAGGCGAGAGCCUGACGGAGCAACGCCGCGUGAGUGAUGAAGGUCUUCGGAUCGUAAAACUCUGUUAUUAGGGAAGAACAAAUGUGUAAGUAACUAUGCACGUAUUGACGGUACCUAAUCAGAAAGCCACGGCUAACUACGUG